AAAUUAAAUUUAUGUUCAAGUGCUAUUUCUUUACGGCACUAAGGAACAAGCAUUUCAAACACAAUGAAUGAGAAAAAAUAAACAUGCGCAACAUAUUCACAGUUGAGAAAGGGACAUUUAGGAUACAGACAACUUUGGAGGGCCAUUAUUCUGCCUGCCACAGAGAUAUCAUCCAUAUGUGACUCAUCUCUAAAAAUUAAAGAGAAAAUGGAGUUGAUCCAGGAAAAAUAAGAAAUCGAUGUCAUGGAUAAAGAGGACUUCUCCUGGUCUCGUUUCUCCAAGCAAAAC